rnacentral:lncRNA from 1 species
GAUGGAGUAAGAUUUUUUAAGGGUAAGUGCACUUCACCUAAGUUUUUCAUCUCCGGCAAACAAAAUUUCCCCUUGUUUGUUCAAGAACCCGAUCGUGAUAUCGUUGUUUUCCCCCAAAAUUAUCAAACUCUAAUUUAUAGUUAGUGCAAUCAGAGUAAGAAAAGGAUCUGCGGAAAGGAAUUUUGUUGAAGAAACCGUUGAAUUCCAGCAAUGGAGAUCUUAUAAACCUUUGAGUUCCAUUGUGCAUUGAUGAAGAAGAUCGGUUAAUGACAAAACUUUCAAGUUCUAUUUAUGGGCAAAUGAUAGCAGGGAUUGAAACAAAACAAGUUUUAAGGUACUCUCCAGGUAUCGGCCGUUCAUUAUUGUUCCCAAAUUACUAGUAAUUAAAAUUGAUAAAACUUAAUUAGUAUAUUUUGUCCCUUUCCUCUGGAUUAUACCUAAUAUAAUUGUUUUACUAUGUUGACAAAUUAACUAGGGAAACAAAUAAAAAUGAUACUUAUUUGGGUUUCGAAAAAUUCAUAAUUUCUUUAUCAAUUUUAAAUUUCAGUAGCUGAGAUGUCUUCAAAUUGGGUAGCAGCUCAAGUAACUCGGUAAGCAGUUUUUCUCUGUGGAUGUAGUUCAUACAUGUCUAUCUAAUUGCCUUUGGAAAUUAUAAUCUGAAUUGAGUUUAUCUAAUCUGAUUGCAACUGUAUUUUAUGUUGUAUUUGUUUCGUCCUUGUUAGUCCCAUUUAUUUCUGGGAUUAUGGUGAUUGAGAUUGAGAUUAUGGUGAAUAUUGGUCCAUCUCGGUUGGACUCACCUACUUAGCUUAGGUUUUACCUCAGUGCCAGAUUGAAUGACUUGCUGCAGUUUGGAGAUUGUAUUAAAAGUUAUAAGUAUGUGAAUAGAGGAAAAUGUUAUUAAGUAGUAAUAUUGUAGCGCAGUUUGAUCUUCUGUAGAUAGAAACUCUGAUUUUAGGGCAAGCAAUAUAGCAAUUGCAAUGCCCCCCAAAAGAAAGAACAAGUGUUUGAGUCACAGGGAGUCUCAAUAAACCUUUCGGAAGAAAGAAAAUCCAAUUUGCUUUUAUUUUCCCCCUGUAUGCCCUCCUUAUGUGCUGUUGCGUUAUAUCUUUUAUAUUUUGUCCAUUUAUUCAUCUCUUUGUUUUCUGAAUGUUCUGAAGUGAGACAGAAAAAAAUGACUUAGACUCUUAAGUUCAAAUGAGAACCGAUAUGUAGUGGUUUUGUGUUAGAGCAUUAUUGAUCUAAACAAAGCAAUUAAAAUAUCACCAUGUGUCAUGUGGCAUGCUGGAUAUGUGUAAUUGCCAAUCCUGUUUUUUUUUAAAGUCAGUGUUGUAAAAAGCUUUUAAGAGAAGCCAGGCGUGGGUCUUGCGCUUCAGAUGGCUCCUUCUCUUCUGCAAUAUCCCUACUGCUUGCAACUUCUUUUUUCUUCUUUCUCUUCUUCUCUUCUCUGUUUCGAUAUCUUUUUUUUUCUCGCCUAUCUCCAUUGAAAGUUUAGCACCACAUCUUGUUACACAAUUGACUAGUAAGUUCUCUUCCUUUUCUUAAUUAAUGUCUUUAGUUACGGUAAUAUUAAAGACCUUUAAAUCCAUAAACUAAUCAUACCUGAAACACACUCCUAAGUAAGGAUGAAUUCCUGGUCACUAGCUCCAUUCAUUCCAUAAUUUCAAAGGAACUAAUGAUCCUCAUUGUUAUUAACUUAUUAUUCUGUGAGUUGCUUGGUGGUUUUUUAGUGGAAAUGACUUAAUUCUAGAGGCAGUUUCCAUGCACUAACAUCUCUGUUUUGGCAAUUGUUGGGACAGGUAUAAUUCUUAUUCAGAGUGACACUUUGGACCUUCUUAGAUAUCGUGAUGCUGGAAGAUAAAGGUUGGGAAGAUCCUCGUUCCGUUAAUAGCCCUAGGAGGAUCUUGAGUUUUUCCAAGAAUAGGAAGGCCACUGUGUUCUUUCCAGACCCAGACGACAGAGAUUCAGGUUUUGGUGUUUCUGGAGAUCAGGGACCCAAGACUUUUGAAGUUUACGGAUUUGUUGGCUCCAUUACUACUGUUGUUGCUACAGGUCUACCCAUCCUCAUCUUUAAGAAGCUUAGUCUGUUAUUUAGAACAUAUCCCUAUGUUUGAAUAUUCAAUGUUUUCUUCUGAUAUCAUAGUUUGGAAUACAGUUGAAUUGUUAGUAUUAUAAUGUGAUGUGAUUUUCUUCCUUGGUAAUGCUCAUCAUGACAUGAAAGUUACUUAUUCUUAUCUUUUGGUUAGACUCCUUGGCCUUCCUGGAAAUGCUUGUGCCCAGGCAUCACCAGUAUCUGGAUAUAGGGCAGAGUAUGCUAAUUGAUUUUUCUUGGGAGUUGAAAUGACAAGGCUGUUGAAAUCUCUGGAUAUAUUACUCUGCAAAUAUUGAAAACAGAUGCAAAUACUAAUUUUUGAUUUGUCUGCAAGAUGUCGUCUGUUGUAAAGUAUUGAGCUCUCAUAUUUUGUAUGUAUAAUUGCUUUGCUUUAACCUUUCCACUGGUAUUCCAGCGGUCACAACAUUCAUUUGAUUUCAUGCAUACGAAAGUCUGAUUGGUUUCUAUUAUUUUCAAUGAGGAGUUCUUUUUCUGGUGUGGGCAUAUCUUCCUGAACAUUGGUUGCACUCUUUGGGAAUUGUUUACUAUCCAAGCAGGUAAAGAAGAUGUACUUGCAGGCUUGUGUCAUCUUUACAUCUUGUCUCUAAAAAGAUCCCUUUUUAAAUUAGGAGAUAAUAUGAAUUUCAUAGUUUCAAAUUUACUUAGCUGGUUUGUCUGAGACACCAGAGCAAGAAGCUGGUUAGUGUAUUCCAGCUACCUAAGCUGGGCUUAGUUUAUUCCAAUUUUUGGAUCUAUAAUGGCAUUUGGUUGUUCUGAACAAACAUCUUGAAAAGAGGAGGCACAAAUUUUUAAUUGAUAAGCCCUUUAGUUGCAUUUCAGAAAUUGAUAUAUAUUGGUCCUACAUUUCAGAAAUUACAAGUGCAUGAAAGCAACUUAAAGCAUUUGCAGAAUGCUCAAGAUGAAAAACUGCUAGUAUGGGCAUCUGGCUAGUAAAAUGGGUUCGGAGUACCUUGCAGAACUGCUGUCAAAGGUAUACUUAUAGUUCUUUUCAUGUAAGGAGUUCCUAACUAAGUUGAGCAGAGUUCAUAUUCAGAUUGUUUCCAUUUCAGCACUUGGAACAAUUUAUUAAGGCAAGAAUACCAAGUAUCACAUCACUUAUCAAUAAAAGCAUAGAUGAACUUGAAUCGGAACUGGACCACCUUGGAAGGCCUAUUGCUGUUGAUGCAGGCGUAAGCUUCGACUUCUAUAUCUAUCGUUGCUACUGUUGAUCGAGAGAUUUUCCUUUAUCUUAGUAACUGAACUGGUCUAUUUCAGGCUCAACUGUAUACUAUUUUGGAACUUUGCCGUGCUUUUGAUAAGAUAUUUAAGGAGCAUCUAGAUGGAGGGUAAGUGGAUUGUUUUCUUUUUUCCCUUAAUUUUCCAAAUCUAACUUUCAUUAUCGUAAGCACUUCAAAAAAUCCAAAGGAACCAUAGUGGAAAACCAUAAAGCACAAAGGAACUUGAAAUACAAGGGAGGGAUUUGGCAUAGGCUGAAAAGAGACCACCAAAUGUGACUAGUACCCAUAAAACACAAAGAAUUUGAAGAAACUUCACUCAUGAGAACUUGUAAAAAAAAAAAAAAAGAUGUACCCAUUAAACUCAAGGAAUUGGCAAACAUUUCAGUAGACAUGUGACACUCGUCUACCUUGUCUGUAAAUGCUUGUACUGAUUUAAGAUGAACUUCCAGUUUAUUGCUCUGCACCUAGACUAUAUAUAACAUGAAUUUAUCUCUUUUUGUUAAUCAGUCGACCUGGUGGUGAUCGAAUUUAUGGAGUGUUUGACAACCAACUACCUGCUGCUUUGAGAAAACUCCCGUUUGACCGAUAUCUCUCUGUGCAAAAUGUGAGGAAUGUUGUUUCAGAGGCAGAUGGUUACCAGCCUCACUUGAUAGCACCUGAGCAAGGUUAUAGACGUCUAAUUGAAGGGGCCUUAAAUUAUUUUAGAGGCCCAGCUGAAGCCUCUGUUGAUGCUGUAAGUAAGGGGGGAAAGCCAGAAGCUUCUGCUGCCGUAGACCGGUAUGGAGAGGGUCACUUUCGUCGGAUAGGUUCAAAUGUAUCAUCAUAUGUAAAUAUGGUGUCUGAUACAUUGAGGAACACACUCCCCAAAGCAGUGGUUUAUUGUCAAGUUAAGGAGGCCAAACAAUCUUUGUUGAACUACUUCUACACUCAGAUUGGGAAGAAAGAGGUACUAUCUCAGUGUUCAUCCCGAAUUAGCAGUUUUUUUUAUAGUACAAGUGCUGACGGUUGUUUAUAUUUCUCAGGGCAAGGCACUUUCAGAAUUGUUAGAUGAAGAUCCUGCAUUGAUGGAGAGAAGAAUGCAAUGUGCCAAGAGGCUUGAACUGUACAAGAAAGCAAGAGAUGAGAUUGAUUCUGUAGCGUGGGUACGAUGAUUGCACUUUAAGAGACACCUUUCUUCUACGAUACAACAAAUUCACGACUUGGAUGAAUCAAUAUCGCUGCUUGUUCGAACAUUUUAACAGCCUAAAUUCUUUGAUUGUUGUAGUCAUAUUAUUUGGUUUGGAUGAAUUGUUGCUUUAUUAUGUAUUUGUGAACUGAGUUAAUACCACAUUCAGUUGUCCUUUUGCUCAGGCUGCUGCUCCAUUUUUGUACUUGUACCUUUUACUGCUUAUGGACUUGGAUAAAGAAAUGAUGUAGAAAUAUGGCGUCUUUAAACAGUAAACUUCUUCUAAAACCAAUGAGCAAAGAAAAACACUCAAAUACCAGAACCAUUAUGAACUUGUCAAUUUGAUCUUUUUCCCUAACAGUAAUAUACCCUUGCUAACCAGUAUAUUAGUUUUUCUGUACUACACAGAGGAAAGCAAAUGGACGAUUGUGAAAAAAGCCACAUCUAAAUUACAUUUAAUGUCAAGUACCUGAAUUGGGUGAAUCAAAGAGAUACACUGAUAAAUGAAGGAAAUGAAACUGAUACAAUCUAUCCAAGCAAAAUAACUGCACAGUAAAAUUAUUUCUUAUCUUGGAUUGAACAUAAGGUCAUUUAUUUGAUCAAUCCGAAUAUCAGAUAUAGGCUCUAUAGGUUGCUCAUCAUUGUCUGUUGAAGGCACGUUGCGCAAAGGUUCUCUUGUGAAUUCAUCUGCAGAAUAGAUAGAAAGAAAACAUUACGAGCUCAAUCCCAUGAUUAUGUAAAAACAACUACUAAAAAUUAAAUUUGGGUAUUGCAUGCUUCAAGAGUCAAGACAGAAACGCUAGGAAAAUCCUUUCUACUGUCAUUGCCAGAAAGUCAAGUAACAAUUACCAUAUAUCAUGCUGAAAGAAGUUGGAGGAGGGGUAGCCAAGAAGUUGAGACCAAUGUAAAAUCCUACAGCUAGUGAUAUAGUCAUCAUCGCAUAAGCUGGCGCAGCUAAUGCCCAGUACCUGAUAAAACCAAGAACAAUUUAACAAGAUGUUAAAUAUAUCAUGUGACAAUUAGUAAGUGACCAGCUAAGUUCUGCCAAGAAUUUUUUUUUCAUCUUGAGCAUUCUGCAAAUGCUUUAAGUUGCUUUCAUGCACUUGUAAUUUCUGAAAUGUAGGACCAAUAUAUAUCAAUUUCUGAAAUGCAACUAAAGGGCUUAUCAAUUAAAAAUUUGAGCCUCCUCUUUUCAAGAUGUUUGUUCAAAACAACCAAAUGCCAUUAUAGAUCCAGAAAUUGGAAUAAAAUAAGCCCAACUUAGGUAGCUGGAAUACACUAACCAGCUUCUGGUGUCUCAGACAAACCAGCUAAGUAAAUUUGAAACUAUGAAAUUCAUAUUAUCUCCUAAUUUAAAAAGGGAUCUUUUUAGAGACAAGAUAUAAAGAUGACACAAGCCUGCAAGUACAUCUUCUUUACCUGCUUGGAUAGUAAACAAUUCCCAAAGAGUGCAACCAAUGUUCGGGGAGAUAUGCCCACACCAGAAAAAGAACUGCUCAUUGAAAAUAAUAGAAACCAAUCAGACUUCCGUAUGCAUGAAAUCAAAUGAAUGUUGUGACCACUGGAAUACCAGUGGAAUUAGGUUAAAGCAAAGCAGCUAUACAUACAAAAUAUGAGAGCUCAAUACUUUACAACAGACGACAUCUUGCAGACAAAUCAAAAAUUAGUAUUUGCAUCUGUUUUCAAUAUUUGCAGAGUAAUAUAUCCAGAGAUUUCAACAGCCUUGUCAUUUCAACUCCCAAGAAAAAUCAAUUAGCAUACUCUGCCCGCCCUUCAUAAUUAUGCUGGAAAAGAUGUAAAAAAGAUUUUUGAGGGGUAAUAUGGUCUUUAACUAUGUUAAUGCCUGCAUUAAAACCCCCUACAUUACUAAUACAAAAAAAAUUCAUGUAUUAAUCACACACACAUCAAUACACACUAGAGUAAAAUAUUAGUUAUACAUACACAUAUCAUAAUAUAUCAGAAAUGGGAGAUGGAAGAUGGCUAGGAAGGCCAAGGAGUCUAACCAAAAGAUAAGAAUAAGUAACUUUCAUGUCAUGAUGAUCAUUACCAAGGAAGAAAAUCACAUCACAUUAUAAUACUAACAAUUCAACUGUAUUCCAAACUAUGAUAUCAGAAGAAAACAUUGAAUAUUCAAACAUAGAGAUAUGUUCUAAAUAACAGACUAAGCUUCUUAAAGAUGAGGAUGGGUAGACCUGUAGCAACAACAGUAGUAAUGGAGCCAACAAAUCCGUAAACUUCAGAAGUCUUGGGUCCCUGAUCUCCAGAAACACCAAAGCCUGAAUCUCUGUCGUCUGGGUCUGGAAAGAACACAGUGGCCUUCCUAUUCUUGGAAAAACUCAAGAUCCUCCUAGGGCUAUUAACGGAACGAGGAUCUUCCCAACCUUUAUCUUCCAGCAUCACGAUAUCUAAGAAGGUCCAAAGUGUCACUCUGAAUAAGAAUUAUACCUGUCCCAACAAUUGCCAAAACAGAGAUGUUAGUGCAUGGAAACUGCCUCUAGAAUUAAGUCAUUUCCAGAAAAAAACCAUUUGAGAAAAGACCCAUCCAUACUAUUAUUUGUUAAUAGAAAACGAUUCCGAUUUUGCAAAUUCAUUUUUUACAUGUGGUCAAUUAUGAUUUCGGCCACAUCAUUAUUUAUUUAUUUUUUAAAAAGAAAAAAAGCCCAAAUAUGUCAUCGAACUUUGAAAAAAGACUCAUUUAUGCCAUUCGUUAAAAAUUUGGCUCGUCUAUGCCAUUUCAAUUAACAAAUAUGGCAUGGAUAAACCUUUUCUCAAACAUAAAUAAUAUAGAUGACUCAAAUUUUUAUCGGACUACAUAAAUGAUCCCCUUUUAUCUCAAAAUUUAAUACUAGCAUGUUUGAGCCUUCUCUUAAUACAAUGCAUUAUUAUAUUAUAUUAUAGACUAAAAAAAGUGUAGGAAGGUACUAAUAUUACAAGUUCACAACCCAGUCCUUACCUGUUAAUUGAUGGAAAAAAGAAAAAGGUGGUAAGUUACCUUAACACUGUUACUCUGUCCCAAUUUAUGUGAUUUACUUUUCUUUUUAGUCAGUCCCAAAAAGAAUGACACAUUUCUAUAUUAAGUAACAAUUUGACUAUAAAAUGUCUAUUUUACCCUUAAUGAAAUGAUUUACAGCCACACAAAUUUCUAUCUUUCAUUUUGGACCACAAAAUUUUAAAAUCUUCCUUUCUUUUUUAAAUUCCGUGCCAAAUCAAAGUACCUCACAUAAAAUGGGACGGAUGGAGUAAGAUUUUUUAAGGGUAAGUGCACUUCACCUAAGUUUUUCAUCUCCGGCAAACAAAAUUUCCCCUUGUUUGUUCAAGAACCCGAUCGUGAUAUCGUUGUUUUCCCCCAAAAUUAUCAAACUGUAAUUUAUAGUUAGUGCAAUCAAAGUAAGAAAAGGAUCUGCGGAAAGGAAUUUUGUUGAAGAAACCGUUGAAUUCUUGCAAUGGAGAUCUUAUAAACCUUUGAGUUCCAUUGUGCAUUGAUGAAGAAGAUCGGUUAAUGACAAAACUUUCAAGUUCUAUUUAUGGGCAAAUGAUAGCAGGGAUUGAAACAAAACAAUUUUUAAGGUACUCUCCAGGUAUCGGCCGUUCAUUAUUGUUCCCAAAUUACUAGUAACUAAAAUUGAUAAAACUUAAUUAGUAUAUUUUGUCUCUUUCCUCUGGAUUAUACCUAAUAUAAUUGUUUUACUAUGUUGACAAAUUAACUAGCGCAGUUUGAUCUUCUUUAGAUAGAAACUCUGAUUUUUAGGGCAAGCAAUAUAGCAAUUGCAAUGCCCCCUAAAAGAAAGAACAAGUGUUUGAGUCACAGGGAGUCUCAAUAAACCUUUCAGAAGAAAGAAAAAAAUAAAAUCCAAUUUGCUUUUCUUUUCCCCCUGUAUGCCCUCCUUAUGUACUGCUGCGUUAUAUCUUUUAUAUUUUGUCCAUUUAUUCAUCUCUUUGUUUUCUGAAUGUUCUGAAGUGAGACAAAAAAAAAUGACUUAGACUCUUACGUUCAAAUGAGAACCGAUAUGUAGUGGUUUUGUGUUAGAGCAUUGUUGAUCUAAACAAAGCAAUUAAAAUAUCACCAUGUGUCAUGUGGCAUUCUGGAUAUGUGUAAUUGCCAAUCUUGUUUUUUAUUAAAGUCAGUGUUGUAAAAAGCCUCGCUUUAAGCUUUGAAGAGAAGCCAGGCGUGGGUCUUGCGCUUCAGAUGGCUCCUUCUCUUCUGCAAUAUCCCUACUGCUUGCAACUUCUUUUUUCUUCUUUCUCUUCUUCUCUUCUCUGUUUCGAUAUUUUAUUUUUUUUCUCGCCUAUCUCCAUUGAAAGUUUAGCACCACAUCUUGUUACACAAUUGACUAGUAAGUUCUCUUCCUUUUCUUAAUUAAUGUCUUUAGUUACGGUAAUAUUAAAGACCUUUAAAUCCAUAAACUAAUCAUACCUGAAACAUACUCCUAAGUAAGGAUGAAUUCCUGGUCACUAGCUCCAUUCAUUCCAUAAUUUCAAAGGAACUAAUGAUCCUCAUUGUUAUUAACUUAUUAUUCUGUGAGUUGCUUGGUGGUUUUUUUUCUGGAAAUGACUUAAUUCUAGAGGCAGUUUCCAUGCACUAACAUCUCUGUUUUGGAAAUUGUUGGGACAGGUAUAAUUCUUAUUCAGAGUGACAGUAAUGGAGCCAACAAAUCCGUAAACUUCAAAAGUCUUGGGUCCCUGAUCUCCAGAAACACCAAAACCUGAAUCUCUGUCGUCUGGGUCUGGAAAGAACACAGUGGCCUUCCUAUUCUUGGAAAAACUCAAGAUCCUCCUAGGGCUAUUAACGGAACGAGGAUCUUCCCAACCUUUAUCUUCCAGCAUCACGAUAUCUAAGAAGGUCCAAAGUGUCACUCUGAAUAAGAAUUAUACCUGUCCCAACAAUUUCCAAAACAGAGAUGUUAGUGCAUGGAAACUGCCUCUAGAAUUAAGUCAUUUCCACUAAAAAACCACCAAGCAACUCACAGAAUAAUAAGUUAAUAACAAUGAGGAUCAUUAGUUCCUUUGAAAUUAUGGAAUGAAUGGAGCUAGUGACCAGGAAUUCAUCCUUACUUAGGAGUAUGUUUCAGGUAUGAUUAGUUUAUGGAUUUAAAGGUCUUUAAUAUUACCGUAACUAAAGACAUUAAUUAAGAAAAGGAAGAGAACUUACUAGUCAAUUGUGUAACAAGAUGUGGUGCUAAACUUUCAAUGGAGAUAGGCGAGAAAAAAAAUAAAAUAUCGAAACAGAGAAGAGAAGAAGAGAAAGAAGAAAAAAGAAGUUGCAAGCAGUAGGGAUAUUGCAGAAGAGAAGGAGCCAUCUGAAGCGCAAGACCCAUGGUGAUAUUUUAAUUGCUUUGUUUAGAUCAACAAUGCUCUAACAGAAAACCACUACAUAUCGGUUCUCAUUUGAACUUAAGAGUCUAAGUCAUUUUUUUCUGUCUCACUUCAGAAAACAAAGAGAUGAAUAAAAUAUAAAAGAUAUAACGCAGCAGCACAUAAGGAGGGCAUACAGGGGAAAAGAAAAGCAAAUUGGAUUUUCUUUCUUCCGAAAGGUUUAUUGAGACUCAAACACUUGUUCUUUCUUUUAGGGGGCAUUGCUAUAUUGCUUGCCCUAAAAUCAGAGUUUCUAUCUACAGAAGAUCAAACUGCGCUACAAUAUUACUACUUAAUAACAUUUCCCUCUAUUCACAUACUUAUAACUAUUAAUACAAUCUCCAAACUGCAGCAAGUCAUUCAAUCUAGCACUGAGGUAAAACCUAAGUAGGUGAGUCCAACCGAGAUGGACCCAUGAUUCACCAUAAUCCCAUAAAUAAAUGGGACUAACAAGGACGAAACAAAUACGACAUAAAAUACCGUUGCAAUCAGAUUAGAUAAACUCAAUUCAGAUUAUAAUUUCCAAAGGCAAUUAGAUAGACAUGUAUGAAUUACAUCCACAGAGAAAAACUUCUUAUCGAGUUACUUGAGCUGCUACCCAAUUUGAAUACAUCUCAGCUACUAAAAUUGAAAAUUUAUAAGGUAAUUAUGAAUUUUUCGAAACCCAAAUAAGUAUAAUUUUUAUUUGUUUCCCUAGUUAAUUUGUCAACAUAGUAAAACAAUUAUAUUAGGUAUAAUCCAGAGGAAAGGGACAAAAUAUACUAAUUAAGUUUUAUCAAUUUUAAUUACUAGUAAUUUGGGAACAAUAAUGAACGGCCGAUACCUGGACAGUACCUUAAAACUUGUUUUGUUUCAAUCCCUGCGAUCAUUUGCCGAUAAAUAGAACUUGAAAGUUUUGUCAUUAACCGAUCUUCUUCAUCAACGCACAAUGGAACUCAAAGGUUUAUAAGAUUUCCACUGCUGGAAUUCAACGAUUUCUUCAACAAAAUUCCUUUCCGUAGAUCCUUUUCUUACUUUGAUUGCACUAACUAUAAAUUAGAGUUUGAUAAUUUUGGGGGAAAACAACGAUAUUACGAUCGGAUUCUUGAACAAACAAGGGGAUAGUGGAUAAAACAAAUUUUUUUCUUACACUAAGCCUAUUUUAGUUACUUACUAGGAUAGUGGCUUAUUUUGGUCACUUUUAUCUUUUUGUGGCUUAUUUAGGUUCCGGACUCAUUUAAGAACAAUAUAUCGCCUCGUUUGAUAGAUAGAGUGUAUAAGAAUAGUAGUAAAUAAAGUAUAUUAGUAAUAUUUGUAUUAGUAAUGUUUGUACUAAUAAUACUUAUAUUAAUUACAUUGUUUAAUCAUUGUAUUAAAAAUAUCUUGCAUGAGAAAAAAAAUUAUUUACAAAAAUACCCUUCAUAAUUAUGCUGGAAAAGAUGUAAAAAAGAUUUUUGAGGGGUAAUAUGGUCUUUAACUAUGUUAAUGCCUGCAUUAAAACCCCCUACAUUACUAAUACAAAAAAAAUUCAUGUAUUAAUCACACACACAUCAAUACACACUAGAGUAAAAUAUUAGUUAUACAUACAUAUAUCAUAAUAUGCAAAUACUAAUUUUUUAUUUGUCUGCAAGAUGUCGUCUAUUGUAAAGUAUUGAGCUCUCAUAUUUUGUAUGUAUAGCUGCUUUUCUUUAACCUAAUUCCACUGGUAUUCCAGUGGUCACAACAUUCAUUUGAUUUCAUGCAUACGGAAGUCUGACUGGUUUCUAUUAUUUUCAAUGAGCAGUUCUUUUUCUGGUGUGGGCAUAUCUUCCCAAACAUUGGUUGCACUCUUUGGGAAUUGUUUACUAUCCAAGCAGGUAAAGAAGAUGUACUUGCAGGCUUGUGUCAUAUUUACAUCUUGUCUCUAAAAAGAUCCCUUUUUAAAAUUAGGAGAUAAUAUGAAUUUCAUAGUUUCAAAUUUACUUAGCUGGUUUGUCUGAGACACCAGAGCCAGAAGCUGGUUAGUGUAUUCCAGCUACCUAAGUUGGGCUUAGUUUAUUCCAAUUUCUGGAUCUAUAAUGGCAUUUGGUUGUUUUGAACAAACAUCUUGAAAAGAGGAGGCACAAAUUUUUAAUUGAUAAGCCCUUUAGUUGCAUUUCAGAAAUUGAUAUAUAUUGGUCCUACAUUUCAGAAAUUACAAGUGCAUGAAAGCCCUUAUUUCCGUUGUUUCUUGGUGUUGCUGUUGGUACAUGCAUCCUGCAAAUCUAGAAAAUCGGUAUCUAAUUUCACAGUGCAAUUGUUGUAGCCCCAUAUGUUGUACCAGAACUGGACACCACAACUCCACUAUUUAAAGUCUUUAAAAUCUCAUAAUUUUUUCUGCAGGUUUUUUUUAAUUAUAGUAGAACUUCUUUUUGCUUUGACAAUAGAGAAAUUAGUGAAAGCUUAAAGGUCAAGCAUCCCUCCAAUAAUGCCGUCCAGUGUAGAAAGCAUUUCACUUUUGUUUAGAUUCCAGAUGCUUAGACCAUAUGAAAAUGAGAACUCAUUCACAAAGGAAGUGGACACCAAUAAUCAAGGUAAUAAGAAUAUUCUCUGGAUAUAUGAAGCACAUUUAGUUGAAAAGAAAGCUACCUGGUUAGCAGACUCGACAACAGUCCCCAUGGAUUUCUGGUAACUUGGUCUUUCGAAAUUGCCUGCAGAAAGACAGACUCAGUCAAUUACUCAGGAAUGUUGACACUAAAAAUAAAGGAAGGGGGACUGAACAUCUAGAAGGAAAAGACUUGCACUUUCAGAGAUCAGAUGCUGGAAUCUUCGCUUAAUAUAUUCCAGCUUCAGAUCACAUAAGAAAAAUGAACAUGUUCACAUUAAUAAGCUUCAGAUAUUAUAACUGCUAGAGUCAAAAACAGAAUCUUCAUGUCUCCAGAAAAUGUACAUUACAAAGCUUGAAGCAACACUUUUAAUCUAAAGUAUAAAACAUCAAUCUUCAUAAUAGAUGACAAUCAAAAGCAAAAAAGCCAGAACCCAGGUAUUUACAUGCACCCACCCCGCUUUAUCAUUAAUUUAUUCCUUCCCACAUACAUUCCCAAGUACCAGCCUAAACUAUUCCCAAGCCUCAAUACUAUCCUAAAACAGUAGAAAUUUCCCAGCAACACUCCACCAUUGAAAUUGAAAGAGAUCAACUCAAGUUAAACAAAAACCCUCAAGUAUAAAAAAAAAAAUCUUUAAACGAGAAACAAUAAAUCUGUCGGUGCAAAAUUGAGCACGCGCAAACCAGAUGAAAUUGCAUGAGAUCUGUUCAACCAUAAACAAAUUCCUAAUCAGAUCAAAUCAAAACUAGCUCCAAAAUACAAAAUCAAAUCUCAAGAAUUCCAAAACAAAGAAACAAAAUUCGGGUCAGAUCGGAGCAAAGAAAAUGCAGUAAAUUGAAGAAUGCAAUGUAUGAAAUUGAGGAGAAGAAUGAAAAAGCGUAGAUCGGGAAGAGAGAAAUCAAGAUCUGAAGCUUACCAAAGGUAGAAGAAUGGUGAUUUGUUGAGGUACAAAAAGGGAGGGAAUGGUAAUGUGAAGAGCUCGCGAGGUUCUUUGAGAUAUAUUUAUAGGCCUCGAGCCAAAUUUGGGAGAACCAUUUUGAACGGUAAACUCUUCCCUUUUUCCUUUCGCACUCCACACGUUGCGUUGAAUGGUUACUCUUUUUUUCCUUUUCACU